rnacentral:lncRNA from 1 species
AAGAAUUUCAUGUCUUUUGUAUUAAAGAAUUAAAUGGAUGAAAUAUGAAGUUUUAUUAAAAGAAAAAGGGGUGAAUAGAACAAAGUUUUGUCCAUCUUUGUUCAUCAUAGCUGGAAGUUAGAGAAGAGAAAUGAGAGGAGAAAGCUCUGGAGUAUUCGGUCAUUAGGAGGAGGAAAAUUGAAGGUAAGUUCUUGGUACCUUGUUUCUAUUUUGAGGUUCAUGAGUUCUUCUUGAUUCUACCUUAACUCUUGAAGCAUAUUUUGAUUUUUAGUUGUGUUGUGAGCAUUUAGUCAUGAAUUAAAAUGAAGGAAAUGGUUGUUGUUUCAUGUUCUUUUGAUGAAAAAUGGAAGAUAGGUGAAGUUGAGCCAAACAAAUGAGCAUGCAUGUGCCUUAGAUGCUAAGGGGAAAAAUUGGCUAACAUGCUGUGCUUUAAAAUGAUGAAAUGGAGAUUAUAUUUAAGUAAAAUCAUAGAUAUGUGAUGAUUGAUUGGUGAUAUACAUGUUUAAAUAACAACCAUGCAAGUUAGGUGGGAAAGAGUGAAUUUGGUAAUAAAUCUGCUUGGGACAGCAGCAGUAAUGUGACUUUGGAAAAUCACCAUAAAUUGUGAGAGAUGAAUUAGAAGCUGAAUAAAUUAUGUAAUUAAAGCUUGUUGAGUCUAGUUUCAAAUGGAAAAAACAAGAACAUAUUUUGAAUUCAUUACAAUGAGAAAUUUGAUUCGUAAUGAAGAGUGGUCAGAUUAGUCAAACAGUGAAACAUGCGAAACUUUGAGAAAAAUCUGGUAUUUAUUGGCGAAACCAAAAAUUCUGAAAAUUUUAUGGAUAUAAGAUAUAUGAGUUUAUUUUCAGGGAAAAUUAACGGCACUUGAUUUGGAGUUUCGUAGCUCUAGUUAUAAAUGAUUUAGUGACUGUUGCUCAGGAAGACAGCUUGCAGUGAAAUUAUUAUUAUGUGGUAAACAUUGACAAAAAUUUGUUAAUGAGUUGCUUAUUGAUUUCUUAUAAGCUUACUAUGAUCUGUAGGUGUGGUUGGCUGAAUAUUGUAAGGGGUUAAUACGUAGUUCGUAUUUGAAUAGUUAGAUUAACGUGUUAGUAAUCCAAUUGUAGGCGGUUCGUGUGUGGAUCUCGUCAGCAUAUCGUCGCAAACAGGUGUGUAACUAACACCCUCUUUCUUAGUCUGGAUCGGCAAAAGUCGAAAAGCUGAAAUGCCGAAAACCGGUAUUUUGUAGAUUUACGAGUGUGCGAAUGCUCGUGAGGUAAAUCGAUUAAUGUUUUUGGUAAGCUGCAAAAUUUGGACUGCAAAGUGCAUGAUUUUUGUGCCCUCGAUAUUUUUGGGCUUAAUGGGCCAAAAUUGGAAUGAUGGGCCAACGGGCCCAAUUCGGUAAGAACCCUCGGUACGUGAUUCUGUUAGUACGUGAAAAGUAGGAAUAUGCAUGAAAAACCCUAAAAGCAGCUAAAUUACUAUAAUACCCCUAUGUAUGGAAAAUUACUGUUAUACCCCUAGGUGCAAAUUUACCGAAAUACCCCUAGGGUUAAAUUGACCUAAAUGCAUGUUUGACUAUUGUUAUUUACUGCAUGCCAUGUUGUUAUUAUCUGCUGCAUGGGAUUGGGAUAUUGACGGAGAAAGUACUGAAAGUGGCUUGUCCACGUACUGGAGGCUUUGCCUCAAUUUACUGUUAACUGAGCAGCAAGGCUGCAACUGUGGAGUGUUGGGCUGGGUGGGUUGAGCUAUUCCCCACAUGGAGUGUAGUGGUUGGUGGGUUGAGUAGUCUCCCCAAAUGGGCUUGCAUAUGUUUACUGAUGUUGCGUGUAUUUUGAAAUGGGCCUAUGGGCCAUACUGUUAUCUGAAUAAGGGGCUAAGGCCCAGUUUAUUGUAAUCUGAAAAGGGCUCUGGUCCAAUACCACUGUUACCUGAAUGGGCUUAGGCCCAAUAGGCUUGAGCUAACUUGGGCAUUGAAUGGGUUUUCCUUACACACUGAGUUUCCCCAAACUCACCCUUUUUAUUUUCAUCCACGCAGGUAAUCCCCAACCAUAGUGGGCUUGGAGCUGUGAGGGAAUUCGGAGUGGCCACCCGUUCUGAAAGUUUGAUUUUCUUCUAGUGAACUGGACAUCCUUUUAUUUACGUUUGAAGUUUUGGGUUUUUAAAUUUAAUAAGGUCGCUUAAUUAUUUUUUAUGGUUUUAAUAUGUAUUACUAAGAUAAGUAUUACUUAUUUUAACUGUUGAAGUUGGAAAGCUUUAGGGCGCGUUUUCAAAAACAACAAUUGAUUUCAAAAUACCACGAUGACAAGCAAAGCUUCCGCAAUGAAAGUAUUUUCCAAAAUUAAUCACUUUUCCUAAAAAGGACUUAAUCAAAUCGGUUUCCUAGAAAUAUACAUGACGUUAAGGUGUGGCAAUGACGGUGUGCAUGUCUAGGAUUGAAUCUGAAGGGAGCUUGGUACUUAAGCAGUCCGAUGGACUCACCUCCUCUUUUCCGAUUUCCUACCUGGUGCAAAGCUUCCAUUCACUUUAACCCUUAAUGAAUUAAUCUUUUGAACAUCAAGUACGAUUUUCUGGACUUAGAAUGGAAAAAAAAUUUUAACGUUUUUGAUGUGGCAUGCCAGAUCCGGCCAUAACUUUUGGGCUGGGUUUGGGGUGCUACAGAGCAUAGGUUCGAAUCCCAUGGCAAACAAAGAGCAUUUAUUUUGCUAACAGGGGGUUGCAAGAGUUGGUGUUGAAUUUAAACUCUGAUGAUGGAGGGAUCCCACAUCGGGGAGCUAACAUAAGAGUGGAUGCGAAGCUGGCUUUAAAUAGAGAGAACCAUGAGGAGAGUAAAGGUACCUAUCUUGGCUGAUCCCUUUCGCUUUAUGGCGUGCUCGUUUGGGUUGGGCGUCAGCUAAGAGUUCUCGGAGCGCGGAUUAACUCCAGUCUCCUAUUAGGUGUGUAUUUCUCACUACUCUAGCUGUAGGAUGGCUACUUCGUGCCGCAAUGGGCUGAAAAGGGCCAUGUGGGCCCAAUGGGCCUACGGGCCCAAUUGGAUAAGUUGUUUGAUUGUGUAGUAAAUAUUGGACUAGGCUAGGUGAAUCUCAUAUCUGUGGCUAGAUUUGGGCUAAAAGGGUUACACGAGCGUGUGGACCCAUUUGGACCGAGAAAGGGCUUUAGGCCUAUUCGUAUUGUUAUCCCUGUUUAGAAUACUUUAGUUUACCAAAUUACCAAAAUACCCUUGGUUUACAAAAUUACCAAAAUACCCCUGGUUUGUAAAAUUACUAAAAUACCCUUUGUUUAUAAAAUUACCAAAAUACCCCUGGUUUGUAAAAUUACCAAAAUACCCCUGGUUUGUAAAAUUAUCAAAAUACCCUUAAUUUGUAAAAUUACCAAAAUACCCCUGAUUUGUGAAAUUACUAAAAUACCCUCGACUUGUAAAAUUACCAAAGUACCCUGAUUUAUAGAAUUACCGUUUUACCCUCGACUUACAAAAUUACUGUUUUACCCUCGAUUGAUAGAAUUACUAUUUUACCCUCGAUUUACAAAAUUACUAUUUUACCCUCGAUUUACAAAAUUACUGUUUUACCCUCGAUUUACAAAAUUACUAUUUUACCCUCGAUUUACAGAAUUACCGUUUUACCCUCAAUUUAUAAAAUUACCAUUUUACCCGUAGGGUGUUAAAUGAUUGUUUUGCCCUUGUGGGCAAGUGAUUGACUUGGACUGUGUGGUUGACGGAUUUGAUUGUGAAUAUAUGAUAGUGAUAUGAAUGACUUGACUGUGAUUGUUUGAUUCAAGUAUGGGCAUGAUAUUUUGAUUCUGUAUGUUGUAUGCCAUGACAUGUAUAUCUGUUGCAUGGGACACGGGCUUAUACUGAUGGAGGAAGCAUUCUGGCAGCCUCGCUGCAAUCUGGUGGCCUCGCCACAUAUAUCUGUUCUGGUGACUUCGUCAUAAUAUCUGGCAACCUCGCUACAAUCUGGUGGCUUCGCCACAUAUAUAUAUAUUUGUUCUGGUGGCCUAGCCAUAAUAUCUGUAUCUGGUGACUUCGUCACAAUAUCUGGCAGCCUCGCUGCAAAUUCUGUGGUAUGUAGCGGAUGGGUGGGUCGAGUUGUCUCCCCACAAGGUGUAAGGUUGGUACGGGGGUGUAUACGGCUGGAUUGGGUUGGGAUUGCAUUCACAUUCUGAUUUUGAUUCUGUUACCUGAUACUGAUUCUGAUUCUAAUUCUGUCACCUAAUUCUGAUUCUGAUUCUGAUUCUGAUUCUGUCACCUGAUUCUGAUUCUGAUUCUCAUUUUGAUUCUAGUUUUGAUAAUGUUUCUUAUUCUGUAAUGGGCUAAGGCCCAUCUGGUACUGUCUGUUAUAGUGGGCUAAGGCCCAAUUGAUACUGAAACUGUAAGUAAGGCUGGGGUCAGACUUUUAAUUCUUUUUUAUGACUGACUGUUCCUUUUAUAGUAGGGGAUUUCACACUAAGUUUUCGUAAACUCACCCGGUUUAUUAACCUUUCAGGUAAUUUCUAGCCUUAGACAGAUCGGAGCUGCAAGGGGCUCGGAGGAUGCCACACACACUGUUUAUGUUAUAGUUUUGAUUAUUGCUUUUAAAUGUUUUUAUGUGGGUUGUAGUAAAGCCGUUGUAAUUUUCUGGAUUUCAAAUUUGGAAUAUUAUUUAUUAUUCUUAUAAUUGCUAGUAUUAGAACACGGUUUUCCAAAGCAACUACUGUUGUUCAAAACAUCACGUAACCGCAAUUGUUUUUAAAUUAAGCUUCCACAACUACCAGGAUUUUUUACAAAGUUGUUAAGAAUGUUAUUCAGC